UACGGAGGGUGCAAGCGUUAUCCGGAUUCACUGGGUUUAAAGGGUGCGUAGGUGGGCUGGUAAGUCAGUGGUGAAAUCUCCAGGCUUAACUUGGAAACUGCCAUUGGUACUAUCAGUCUUGAAUACCGUGGAGGUCAGCGGAAUAUGUCAUGUAGCGGUGAAAUGCUUAGAUAUGACAUAGAACACCAAUUGCGAAGGCAGCUGGCUACACGAAUAUUGACACUGAUGCACGAAAGCGUGGGGAUCAAACAGG
rnacentral:rRNA from 1 species